rnacentral:lncRNA from 1 species
GUGAAUGGUCAUGGAAGACAUGGGAAUACCUACUAUCUGCCUUUCAAAAAGAGCAACAAUGUUGCCAUUGCAGAAUGAAAACCACUAAUGCAUGGUAUGCUUUAGAAUGUUGUCCAAAGAAUUUUUUCCCUCUAGAAUUCCUUAAACUUUAACUGACGUAGCAUCAACUGAAUACUGAAGAGAAGACUGUUAAGAACACCCCCCCCCCUCCCCCCCUCCCAAACCAAAUAGUAUUAUAAGAUACCGGGUUGGGCUGUUUCGGGUACAAUGUUUUCAAAUCUUAUUCAUCAGUAUAAGGAAAUUAGAGUUGCUUUCGUCUUGAAUUAUUUUGUAGUAGCUAUAAUAUCUAAAGGGAAAAGUCUUAUACACACUUUCUAUGUUGCUUUUUGACCUUUAGAAGAACAAAUAGAUGAAAGACUCAGGAAGACUAGACUAGUAUUGCGUGUUGAAACAAAUAAGGCAUGGCAUGGACCUCCUUGCAGAAGUAGGAAAAGAAAUAUCUUUAUUUGAUCUUGAGAGAGGAUAGAACUUUUCAAACUCUCCCCUCUUUUGUGCCACAAACGUCUUAUGUAGUUUCCUCUGCAUUUCUAGCUUAGCGUAGUUAUAGGCAGGUUCUAAUAAAUAUAAUGAGAACCAGAAUGUGAAGAACAUCAGAAAGGGUCCUUACUGUAAACUUUUAUUUCUUUUUCUCUUAUUUCACACUUCUUUUAUAGUGUGUCUAUUUCUUUUCACUUCUCUGUAUGUCUCUGUGAAGAGAUGUUUCUAUAGACCCCAUGCUUGCGAAAGCAAUUACAUUAGCAGUAGAUUGGUACAAACUGUAUAACUAGAAGUAGAACAUGGGGUACACGUGUUUGUAACAGUACAUGUAUGUUAUGAAUUCUGUGACUAGAUUUGUAAUUGACCAAAUGCACUAUGCUUCAUCUAAUGUCAGAGAGAGGCGGAACGUUUAUUCUGAACUACAUACAUCGCCAGCUAGGGACAAACAAAAGGUAGUAGCCAGAUUGGAGAGCAAAUAAGACAGAAUCUGAUAUUACUGCACUUUAUGUGGGAUUUUUAUUGUUGUAAAUCUUAAAUCUUUACAGUUCAAGUAAUUGUUGAAGCAAGUGAUGCUGAGAAAUGGGUCUGGACGAGAUCUAAAACUGUUCAAGAGGAUUUGGGAUUUGAUUUUGAGUUACCAACCCUUCCAUCCAAUUGUAGUUAUAGUGUCACGUCACAGUAACAGAUUUGGUGACACAACCUACGCAUGGCUUCAGAUUACUGUUCAGUUCAGAACAAACUUUUGUUCUCUUAUGCUGCCUGCAGUAUAGGUGACAUAGUGACUUUCAUCUGCUUUUGCAGAUAAGAUGUUGUAAAAGUAACCCUUUAUGGUUACUGAGGACAACUAAGAAAAGAAUACUUGUUGCUGAUCCCCCCCCCCCCCCCAAAGAGGUUCAGAUAGAGAAACACAUUAAGCAUGAUAGUAAGCCUUAUACGCAGGUACAAAUACAUUCACUUAAAAAUUGCAUAACUACUGCCAAUUUGGGAAUAUCAUAGAAGUCAAUAGCAAAAUCUAGCAACAUUUAGUAGAGUAUAUCAUCUUCCUCCUUAUAAAUCAUCCCAUUAUAUUGUGGAGAAUCCAAUCUAAUUUAUACUCUUGAGAGAUUGUUAAGGUCGUGGUUGAAUUAUUUGUUUGUUUAAGUUCUUCUAGCAAUACUUUUUUGCAGACGAACUAUGUUCAUUCCUGUCUUAAACUAUUCUUAAUGGCUAGAUGACAGGUCAAACUCUAUAAUCAUUCAAGGAGAAACAGAAACCGAUGAACAAGUAUGUGAUCCAAUGUCAUUUUUGGACAUGCACAAAUCAUAAUGUGGUGUAAUAACAAGGAACAACAUACAGUGCUAGGUAUAUAUAAUUCAUAUGUUGUUACAAAAUGUAAAAUCUGUAAAUCGGCAUGGAAAUAUAUUCCUUACUUGUAUAGCUAACAAAAUCAUAUGAGUUUUGAUUUGUUUACUUUGGUAGAGUCUCUUAUAUAGUUGUACAAAUAUCUGUU